GCCUUCGUAGCAUAGUCUUGGUUAUUGCGUCGGUCUUGUAAACCGAAGGUCACGAGUUCGAAUCUCGUCGAAGGCUC
rnacentral:tRNA from 1 species